GGGAACGUAGUUUAAGUGGCAGAAUACCGCCCCUUCACGGCGGAGGUUGGGGUUCGAAUCCCCCCGUUCCCC
rnacentral:tRNA from 1 species